rnacentral:tRNA from 1 species
CGCGGGGUGGAGCAACUGGUAGCUCGUCGGGCUCAUAACCCGAAGGUCGUAGGUUCGAAUCCUGCCUCCGCAACCA